AAUAAGUGCAGCCGUGGAUAUCCGUGCCCAACGUUUGAUCAUCCGUCUUAUUUAAAAAAUUUGUGAAAAAUUUGAAAAUAUUUAGUCACACAUAAAAUACUAUUCAUGUUUUAUCAUCUAAUAGCAAUAAAAUAUACUAAUAAAAAAAUUACAAAUAAAACAAACGGUCAAACGUUGAACGUGAAUAGUGUAAAACUGCACUUAUU
rnacentral:pre_miRNA from 1 species